GAUGAACGCUGGCGGCGUGCUUAACACAUGCAAGUCGAACGAAGCAUUUAAGACAGAUUACUUCGGUUUGAAGUCUUUUAUGACUGAGUGGCGGACGGGUGAGUAACGCGUGGGUAACCUGCCUCAUACAGGGGGAUAGCAGCUGGAAACGGCUGGUAAUACCGCAUAAGCGCACAGUACCACAUGGUAGAGUGUGAAAAACUCCGGUGGUAUGAGAUGGACCCGCGUCUGAUUAGCUUGUUGGCGGGGUAACGGCCCACCAGGGCGACGAUCAGUAGCCGACCUGAGAGGGUGACCGGCCACAAUGGGACUGGGACACGGCCCAGACUCCUACGGGAGGCAGCAGUGGGGAAUAUUGUACAAUGGAGGAAACUCUGAUGCAGCGACGCCGCGUGAGUGAAGAAGUAGUUAGCUAUGUAAAGCUCUAUCAGCAGGGAAGAUAGUGACGGUACCUGACUAAGAAGCUCCGGCUAAAUACGUG
rnacentral:rRNA from 1 species